GGGGGGCGGCGGCAUUAGACGGGAUCAAUCGCCGGAGGAGGCAUAUCAUCGGGGGAGGGUGAACGCCGGGGAAGGCGGCGGAUUUCGCGAGCCGGCCGGUCAAGGAGGAGGAUCCCUACCAAAUGCACGAAGAGGCCUCGGAUCCGUGGGUUUACUCACGAAUUUCUCCACCAAUUUCUCGCCGGAAGGGCCGCCGGAGCAUCCCGCCGGACCGAGGGAAAGAGUCAACGGAGCCAGGAGAUUUUGAUCAGGGGACUCAGCACCCCAGCGAGUAGGUUGUGACUCGGAUCCGUGAUUGAGUCAGUCUACAAUUUCAGUAAGAAUCUCUACAUCUGAGCACUUCUAUACAUAUAUUUGAUUUAUCGUUGGAUUUAUUUCAUAAUUAUGUUGUUAUUGUUUUAUGAGUUGAUGCGAUAUCUAUGAGGCGAAUUUAUAUCAACAUAUUUUCAUAAUUAUGUUGUUAUUGUUUUAUGAGCUGAUACAAAAUCUUUGAGGCGUGCAUUGUGUUUAUAAUGAAAAUAUUGAGAUAAAUUCAUUUGGAAAGAAAUAACCUAUUUUUGAGAAUUUAUGAAAAUAUGUGAUGUGAUGAAAUUGUGAUUAAACAUGUAAAACUAGACAUGUAAUGUGGGUUGGACUAACCUUGUCAUGAGAUAGCCUCUACGAGCUUAUGCGUCGGAUAGCUGCCACGAGCUGAUGCGUGGGAUAGCCUCCACGGGCUUACGCGUGGGAUAGCCUCUACGACAUUAUGCGUGGGAUAGCCUCCACGGGCUUACGCGUGGGAUAGCCUCUACGAGCUUAUGCGUAGGAUAGCCUCCACGGGCUUACGCGUGGGAUAGCUGCCACGAGCUUAUGCGUGGGAUUUGUGCAGUCUUGGACUGGGUCAUGAACUUGGUUAGCCCAACGCCAGAAGUAAAAAGUCUGAAGACUUGGGAAUCAUGGUAUUACGUGAAUGAAUCAC